UGUAGCUCAGUAGCCAGAGCACUUGCCUAAAAUCCAUGAAGCCCUGGAUUCAAUCUCCAGCA
rnacentral:tRNA from 1 species